GAUGAACGCUGGCGGCGUGCCUAAUACAUGCAAGUCGAGCGAACAGACGAGGAGCUUGCUCCUCUGACGUUAGCGGCGGACGGGUGAGUAACACGUGGAUAACCUACCUAUAAGACUGGGAUAACUUCGGGAAACCGGAGCUAAUACCGGAUAAUAUAUUGAACCGCAUGGUUCAAUAGUGAAAGACGGUUUUGCUGUCACUUAUAGAUGGUUCCGCGCCGCAUUAGCUAGUUGGUAAGGUAACGGCUUACCAAGGCAACGAGGCGUAGCAGAGCUGAGAGGGGGAGCGGCCAUGAGGGAGCGGACACGGUCCAGACUCCUACGGGAGGGAGCAGUAGGGAAUCUUCCGCAGUGGGCGAAAGCUUGGCGGAGCAACGCGGCGUGAGAUAUGACGGUCUUCGGAUCGUAAAACUGGGUUAUUAGGUAAGAACAAAUGUGGAAGUAACUGUGGACGUAUUGACGGUAACUGAUCAGAAAGCCACGGCUAACUACGUG
rnacentral:rRNA from 1 species